rnacentral:rRNA from 1 species
CCUACGGGUGGCAGCAGUGGGGAAUAUUGCACAAUGGGGGAAACCCUGAUGCAGCGACGCCGCGUGAGUGAAGAAGUAUCUCGGUACGUAAAGCUCUAUCAGCAGGGAAGAAAAUGACGGUACCUGACUAAGAAGCCCCGGCUAACUACGUGCCAGCAGCCGCGGUAAUACGUAGGGGGCAAGCGUUAUCCGGAUUUACUGGGUGUAAAGGGAGCGUAGACGGGAGCACAAGUCUGGAGUGAAAUCCCGGGGCUUAACCCCGGGACUGCUUUGGAAACUGUGCGGCUGGAGUGCAGGAGGGGUAAGCGGAAUUCCUAGUGUAGCGGUGAAAUGCGUAGAUAUUAGGAGGAACACCAGUGGCGAAGGCGACUUUCUGGACUGUAACUGACGUUGAGGCUCGAAAGCGUGGGGAGCGAACGGGAUUAGAUACCCGUGUAGUC